rnacentral:tRNA from 1 species
UGCGGACGUGGUGGAAUUGGUAGACACGUUAGAUUUAGGAUCUAAUGAGAAUAUCUCGUGAGAGUUCGAGUCUCUCCGUCCGCAA